rnacentral:rRNA from 1 species
UGUUUUAAGAAAGAACAAGGGGUGGGGGUAACUUCUUCCCCCCCUGGACGGUUUUUUAACCAGAAAGGCAAGGGUAAUUACGUGCCAGCAGCCGCGGUAAUACGUAGGUGGCAAGCGUUGUUCCGGAUUUAUUUGGGCGUAAAGCGAGCGCCGGCCGUUUUUUUAAGUUUGAUGUGAAAGCCCCCGGCUCAACCGGGGAGGGUCAUUGGAAACUGGGAGACUUGAGUGCAGAAGAGGAGAGUGGAAUUCCAUGUGUAGCGGUGAAAUGCGUAGAUAUAUGGAGGAACACCAGUGGCGAAGGCGGCUCUUUUGUCUGUAACUGACGGUGAGGCUCGAAAGCGUGGGGAGCAAACAGGAUUAGAUACCCUGGUAGUUCACGCCGUAAACGAUGAGUGCUAAGUGUUGGAGGGUUUCCGCCCUUCAGUGGUGCAGCUAACGCAUUAAGCACUCCGCCUGGGGAGUACGACCGCAAGGUUGAAAAUCAAAGGAAUUGACGGGGGCCCGCACAAGCGGUGGAGCAUGUGGUUUAAUUUGAAGCAACGGGAAGAACCUUACCAGGUCUUGACAUCCUUUGACCACUCUAGAGAUAGAGGUUUCCCUUUGGGGGCAAAGUGACAGGUGGUGCAUGGUUGUUGUCAGCUCGUGU